AUAUUGGGCAAUGGGCGCAAGCCUGACCCAGCAAUGCCGCGUGAAGGAAGAAGGCCCUCGGGUUGUAAACUUCUUUUAUCAGGGACGAAGGAUGUGACGGUAACUGAUGAAUAAGCUCCGGCUAACUACGUGCCAGCAGCCGCGGUAAUACGUAGGGAGCAAGCGUUAUCCGGAUUUACUGGGUGUAAAGGGCGCGUAGGCGGGAUGGCAAGUCAGAUGUGAAAUGCAGGGGCUCAACCCCUGAACUGCAUUUGAAACUAUCGUUCUUGAGUACUGGAGAGGUUGACGGAGUUCCUAGUGUAGCGGUGAAAUGCGUAGCUAUUAGGAGGAACACCAGUGGCGAAGGCAGGCAACUGGACAGCAACUGACGCUGAGGCGCGAAAGCGUGGGGAGCAAA
rnacentral:rRNA from 1 species